UCGACCUCAAAUCAGGUAGGAAUACCCGCUGAACUUAAGCAUAUCAAUAAGCGGAGGAAAAGAAACCAACCA
rnacentral:rRNA from 1 species